GGGGUUGUACCGGUUUCGACAGGAGCUUAGAAAUUGCAGUAGCCGUCCGUGGACUCUGACCACGUUAAAACGGAGAAUUAAAAAUAAACGCUGAUUACGAUUACGCGUUAGCAGCCUAGGUGCUGCUCGUCAGGAGCGGGAGGUCCGCAGACCGCACACCGGCGUCGACUAUGCGGAAAACUCUGUUGUCAAAGCUUUGAGAUAGCAGAAAACCUAUGAAGCUACCGAGGCAGUCAGCCUGCUUAUGGGCGGUCGGCCGAGGGAAUAACAAACCAUAAGCUGCGACGGGAGAAGCUGUAAUGGAAGGGCUUUUGGACGCGGGUUCGAUUCCCGCCAGCUCCAU
rnacentral:tmRNA from 1 species